AGUGUUGGGCAGUGGCAGUAUCGUAGCCAGUGAGGUUUAUCUGAGAUGUGAUUAUUGCUAAUUGAAACUUGCCAAUACCUCAUCAUGGCAGUUUGAAAUAUAUCCGCAUUGGCAAUUUUUGACAGUCUCUAUGAAGA
ensembl:snRNA U4 U4 spliceosomal RNA